rnacentral:lncRNA from 1 species
CCAAGUGUCCUCCUCCACCACUCACGCUGGUGAUCACUGUGCUCUCUGCCAGCUGCGUGGAGUGACGGGAGGAGGGAAUCACUGUGUGUGCGAGAGUGCUUCAGACUCAAUUUCCAAAAUAAUUUUCACCCCUCUAAGCAUGUAAAUAUACAAAGAUGGAUCCUUCAUAGAAAUUAAAAAAUCAAUUUGAGCUCAUUUCGAAUACAGAACAAGUAUGGCACAGAUGGAAGUCCUGCCACGUUUCCUUUAAUGAUGCUGACUCUUGUAUCACACAGGCCAGCAUGAAGUUUCUUACUCAGACUUUACAGGCAUUUUCCGUAAUUCAAUCAGUCCUGCUCCCAGCACAACACAGGAGGUGAUUCGAGAAUAAUCGCGAGAAUCAGGCCUGCUUGGCACUAUUACAACUGGGGAAAACAAACCAGGGCGCCUCCCUGGUUCCCAGCCCAGAAUGUUUCUGUUGGGUAACUGCUUUCUAAAGGAACUGGGAUCUGAGGGAGUUCCUAGACUUGGAGCACUAAAGACACAAGCGUGGCGGGGCUGGCAGCGCCCGCUAUGAGCACCCCUCUGCCCUUGGUCCUGGCCUGGCUGUUACAGGGCCUCGAACUCGUCGAUGCGCUGCUUGGUGUUGCCCUGCCGGAUCUGCCGCAGCGUCUUGUACUUGUCCCGGCCUUGCCUCAUGUUCUCGUUGUGGAUGAUGUCAUUGUGGGUCCUCUUAUUCUCAUCUCGGGCCUGGGACAGCUCGCUGCUCAGCGUCUGUAACAUUAAGCAGCAUUGGUCUAGUCCCUUCCUCCCCAUAUGGCCCGGCCCGUCCCCUAGGAAAACAGGAAGGGCAAGAGGGGUGCUGGGUGGGGCUGGCUCACAUCACUGCCCUCCCCAAGCCUGUCUGCUCCAAAAGCGAGGCAGGCUCCCUGGAGACAGAGCCCCUUGGGCCUCACCAGCAGCUGCCGCUGCACACGCUCGUUCUUCUCUGCCUCAGUGAUGCGCUUCUCCUCAUUGCGGUCAUCCCGGAUGCCCUCACUAGACAGCUCCGCGCUGUAGCCCGUGGGCUCUGCGCCCUCAUCCUGCAAGCUCUCCUGGACAUGGUAGCUCACCGGCUCGUACACGGGGGGUGGUGGGGGCGGGGGUGCUGUCAUCACCAGGUGCAGCUCCUCCUUGGUCUUCACCAGGUCAUCCUGGGCUUCUUUGGCCUUUGGAAAGCAAAUUAAUAAGAGGACUUCUCACCCAGAAGUCCUAUCCUCCUGGCUAUGAGAACAGACUGUCACCUCCCUCUGUCCUGGCAGGCUAAGGCAGCACUGAACUGUGCUGGGCUGUGGCUUCGAAGAGGAGCACCCUCAGGGUGCAUGGGGGGUUUACAACCCUCUGCGUCCAAGACAGGAAGAGGAACUGUGAUGCCGGAACCUGGGCAGUUUUAAAACUACCAUUUCUUUUUUUACCUGUAACUCUAGACAUUAUAUAAUUUUUAGAAAAAAAAUCCUGUUAGCAUGAGUAACGGGCUCUGUUCCUAGCCUCCCUUCAUGCCACAGUCAUUAUCAAGUGCUCUCCUGCUCGCCACUUGCAGUCCUUCCAACAGCUUCACACACACCCAGUCCCGCCCGCCUCCAUCCCAGCCAGCCCUAGAGUUGAGCUUAGUGUGGAUCUGCUUUGUAGCCAGCUCUCCUCACUUAACAGGUACUUUCUCCAAAAACCUAAGAACCAAAGUCUUCCGCUUGCAACUUGGGAUGGUGAUAUGGCUGUGUCCCCACCCAAAUCUCAUCUCCACCUGUAAUCCCCCCAUGCUGGGGGUGGGGGGCAUUACCUGGUGGGAGGUGACUGGAUUACGGGGUGGUUUCCCCUAUGCUGUUCUCGUGCUAGUGGGUGGGUUCUGAGCAAGAGCUGAUGGUUUCAGUGUUUGGCAUUACCCCCCUUUGCUUUUCUCUCUUCUGCCCUCAUGUAAGAGGUGCCUGCUUCCCCUUCGCCUUCUGCCACGAUUGUAAAUUUCCUGAGGCCUCCCCCAG